rnacentral:rRNA from 1 species
AGUGAACGCUGGCGGUAGGCCUAACACAUGCAAGUCGAACGGCAGCACAGUAAGAGCUUGCUCUUACGGGUGGCGAGUGGCGGACGGGUGAGGAAUACAUCGGAAUCUACUUUUUCGUGGGGGAUAACCUAGGGAAACUUACGCUAAUACCGCAUACGACCUACGGGUGAAAGCAGGGGAUCUUCGGACCUUGCGCGAUUGAAUGAGCCGAUGUCGGAUUAGCUAGUUGGCGGGGUAAAGGCCCACCAGGGCGACGAUCCGUAGCUGGUCUGAGAGGAUGAUCAGCCACACUGGAACUGAGACACGGCCAGACUCCUACGGGAGGCAGCAGUGGGGAAUAUUGGACAAUGGGCGCAAGCCUGAUCCAGCCAUACCGCGUGGGUGAAGAAGGCCUUCGGGUUGUAAAGCCCUUUUGUUGGGAAAGAAAAGCAGCAGGUUAAUACCCCGCUGUUCUGACGGUACCCAAAGAAUAAGCACCGGCUAACUUCGUG